GGGGGCGUACCGGUUUCGACGGGGCAUCCUGCGAUCGGGGAGCACGCCGAGCACGCCAUUCCCUCGUAAAAAGGUAUGGCAAAAACUAGCUGCCAACGACAGCGAACUCGCUCUCGCAGCCUAACUGAAAAGUUAGUCCUGUGACGGGAGCCGGGGAGCGCGCCUGAAGCGCCUCGGCUCUUGUCGCGAAAUUCAGGCUAGUGAAGGGGCCGCCGUCUGAAGCCCCCGAACGAAGUUGCCAGACUGGCUUCGGCACUCGAUCGUCUGGACUCGAUAGGGCCGCGGUGAGAUAAAAAGUCCAGACUGAGCGUGGAGAAUCUCGACGUUCGGGCGCUUCGGACGGGGGUUCGACUCCCCCCGCCUCCACCA
rnacentral:tmRNA from 1 species